GUUAUUGUUAUAACAGCGUUCAAAGAGCUCAUGUGAUCCUACAAGUUUUCACACUGAAUCAAAGCCUUAUGUCUGAGUGGAAGUAGCCGGAAUUUUAUGAUUUGGUUGUUGUCAUAUACAGACAAAUGAUUGCUACGAGGUACUUAACUUCAGAGUACCAUAUGCUGACACAAGUAAAAGAUAUCAGGCUUACGGCUUAGCUCGUGAGGAACAAGAUGAAAUAAUCAGACAGAACCAUAGGCCUGAUCAGGAAACUCAAUUUACUGCCGUCC